UGUGGGGCUGUACGGCAGCUGACGCUGACAGUGACAGGCGACUGAUGCGUGCCGGCUGCCGCCGACCGCCGGUGGCUCGAUCUCGCCGGCUCCGAGCUGGCGCAAUGAAUGGCGGCACGUCGCUGCUGCCGGUGCUGUUGCCUGUUGGAGAUUUGGCGUCGAGAGCGUCCGUCGCCCUGUGACCAGUCGCUGUACCAUUCUUCUGAGGUCAAAUGACUUAUUGUUUUUUUUGUUUUGUUUUGUGUGUGUUUAUUGUUUAUCAUUACUUUUGUGAGUCUCACAAGUCACAAAGUGGCUGCCAUUUAUGAAAACAUUUGUCCAAACGUUCAAGAUUAGCAAUGAGAAAUUGGCAAAAUAAAAAAAAAAUCAUCUCUCCCUUCCUCGCU
rnacentral:lncRNA from 1 species